CACAGAGGGUGCGAGCGUUAAUCGGAAUUACUGGGCGUAAAGCGUGCGUAGACGGUUAUUUAAGUCGGGGGUGAAAGCCCCGGGCUCAACCUGGGAAUUGCAUUCGAGACUGAAUAGCUAGGGUACGGUAGAGGGAAGCGGAAUUUCCGGUGUAGCGGUGAAAUGCGUAGAUAUCGGAAGGAACAUCAGUGGCGAAAGCGACUCUCUGGACGGCAACUGACGCUGAGGCACGAAAGCGUGGGGAGCAAACAGG
rnacentral:rRNA from 1 species